rnacentral:rRNA from 1 species
AGCGAACGUUAGCGGCGGGCCUAACACAUGCAAGUCGAGCGAGAAAGAGGCUUCGGCCCUGAGUAAAGCGGCGGACGGGUGAGUAACACGUAGGUAAUCUUCCCUUGAGCGGGGGACAACGAUUCGAAAGGAUCGCUAAUACCGCAUAAGUUCCCGAGGACCCCGGUCCUUGGGAGGAAAGCUAGGCAGCAAUGUCCGGCACUCGAGGAGGAGCCUGCGUCGCAUCAGCUAGUUGGUGGGGUAAUGGCCUACCAAGGCGAAGACGCGUAGCUGGUCUGAGAGGAUGAUCAGCCACACUGGGGACUGAGACACGGCCCAGACUCCUACGGGAGGCAGCAGUGGGGAAUAUUGGACAAUGGGCGCAAGCCUGAUCCAGCCACGCCGCGUGAGUGAUG